UGGCAUUGCUGAACUCUAUCCUACCAUCACUGUCCAACGGCACACAGGCUGCUGUCCAGCAUCAAAUAAUCAUCCCUCUCAGAGAAUCAACUCCACUACGUUGCUAUAGGAACAACAGCUUCUUCAUGUUCCUGAGACAAUAUUUCCUCAACUUUACAUUCCUUAAGUUGACCAACUUCCUCUCCCUUAUUCCACCACAGCGGGAAUCUGAGGUACAGUGCAUUGAACUUGUUUCAGCUGCACUUCAACUUUUGGAAAGUGUGUUCUGGCCUCGAGUCACUGUGUAUCCUAUGCUAUCUGUUUUUCCAGCUGCUCAACACCAUGCAUCCCUCAGAGCUCAGCACCAUCCUCAGGAAGAUUGUGCAGACUAAUCUCUGCACAAUCUUCCGAAACUACAAAAAACAAAAUAACUCCAGAGUUCUGGAAACCAUAAGGACACACACUGCUGAUUGUGGUCACCAUUUUCAAGCACUCACUGAGUAUCCCUUUCUUAGGAUUUACUGAAAGAAAAAACUCUGUUAAAUGGUGCAUUCUCAGUCCUUUGACUUUGAUCAUUAUCUGUCUGUAUGAGAAUCUUCCACAUGAUGUGAAGCGUCCAGUCCUGCCCUGCGUCUGGCCUUUGGCUCUGGCCACUGAUGACAAGGCUGAGGUUGACCGCUGGUUUGACAACAGACUGAGGAACUACCUGAAGUUCCUCAACAGAAACCUGCUCCAGUCCUCUGACACACUCAACGCCUCCUGCUUACCCUUCAGGAGACUGUAAGCUACCACACUGGAAAUACCUUACAUUUGCUGAUGCUAUUACACAGAUAUAUCUACAUCAUUUAAAGUGAAGAAAAGGAAGAAAAGGUUGAUGACUGUCUGCUGUGGUUUUGACAGUGUGUAUCUACUGGGAUCCAAGCUCACUUUCAAUGGCUCAGCCAUAACUCAAGAUGAUGCGUACAGCACCAUAAAUACCUACCUCAACACAGGAAGUUCAGCAGCACCCAAGUGUUAUAGUCCCUCUGACCCAAAUCUCAACUCCACCGCCUGGUUCCUUAACUACAUUGGUGUGUUCAUCACCUUUGUGACCAUUGAAGACUUCAACACAUUUGGCUCAGAGUCAACGCUAAAACUAUUUGCCGUGAACCCUGUCAACAUUGAGUUGUUCAAUUUCGCUGGAGCUCCUCAAAAUCUGACUAAACACUUUACUGAGCUUAUCUUCCUGCAGAACUCCAACUUCCUCCCACUGCAGCUUCCACCACACUUACAAUGUUUUGUCCCAGCUUCAGCUUACUCUAAGCUCAAUGAGUCAGCGAGUGUGGUUGUCCUGGGCAACCUGAACCAAUCCUGUACUAACGUGGACUCAGAGGUGAGCACCAUCAGGAUCAGUAUGAGCCAUUAUUUCCAUGUGAUCAUAAUCCAUUGA
rnacentral:lncRNA from 1 species